rnacentral:rRNA from 1 species
UACGGAGGGAGCUAGCGUUGUUCGGAAAUACUGGGCGUAAAGCGCACGUAGGCGGCGCAGUAAGUCAGGGGUGAAAUCCCGGGGCUCAACCCCGGAACUGCCCUUGAAACUGCAGUGCUAGAAUUCUGGAGAGGCGAGUGGAAUUCCGAGUGUAGAGGUGAAAUUCGUAGAUAUUCGGAAGAACACCAGUGGCGAAGGCGACUCGCUGGACAGACAUUGACGCUGAGGUGCGAAAGCGUGGGGAGCAAACAGGG